CAAGUUGGGAAGAAGGAGAAGAAGGAGGAGGGCAUCCUAGUUGGCAAGUCUUUGGAAGAAAUGCUGAGAUAUCCUGAGAUAUGGAAGAAAAAUGCUUGGAGGAAGGAGGGUCAGAGUGACCUGAGGAAACAGACGAACUUCUUGCUAACAUAUGGAUUUGUCUCUAUGCCUAAGUUCACUAACGGAUCAUGCUUCCAUGAGCUCAGUACAAAUGGUAUAGUUACAAUAUUGAUUGAUCUAUGAAACUUGUAUUCUAUCUGACAAUGAAUUGUAUUGGUUUUUUGAGGCCACCCUGCAGUGGAUCCCACAGGUGAUGAGUUCAAUAAAUAAUGGAAGAGUAUAUUGGCAAAAACAAAAAUAAAAGUUAAAUAUGAUAAUCAGAACAGUCAGGUUUGAUGCAUUAUCUUGUAAAGAUGGUGUUUGGGACAUCUUACAACCUUUCUUGAAAUUCCCCAAAACUGAAGGAAAGCAUAGUCACAUUUCUGUUUGUGUUCUGUGAAAACCUUUCUGUUUUUCAGAUCAUUAGAAAUAGUCAAGUAUUAUUGUACAGUGUUUGCUUAUUCUAAGUAUCUUUCCCAUUUCAACAUUAUCAUCAAACCAGUCAUGUCAAUUUUAACAAUUCACUUGCCAAUACCUCAUACUUUGAGUAAAAAGACAUCAAGAUAGUUGCAGUGGCCACUAGGGGUACCCUGUGUCUCUCCAUUUCUGCCAUCAAAGUAGAUUGCGUGGGAGAAGUCUCCUAUGGCUGUUCAGGAUAAAAUACAGUAGGGGAAUAAGGUGAUCUUAUUUCCUCCACACUGUAUUCUAUAUUUCCACAAAAUAAGAGGAAUUUAUCUGUAUAGAAUUUUUAACUUGGGACAAGAGGGAAGGAAAAGUGUUUCAGAAUCCUUAUUUAAAUUUUUUUUCCUGUUAAAGUAAAAACAUCUAUUGAAAAUAUGAAACAUUAUAGUUACUUCUUUCCAUUUCUAAUUGCUACUCUCUUGGUAUCUACUUACACUUAUGUAGGUCAAGAAGCCCAAAAUUACUUUUAGAAUAUUCUUUUUUUCCUAAAAUGUGAUAUUUCAUAUGAAAGAGUCUAGACCAUUGUUAGCUAGGCUUCACAGAAGACAGUAAAUGUAGAUAAUAACUGUAAUACUGCAAGUGGACCUUUCCUUCUCUCACCCCAUCCGUUUUUUGCCUAUUCUACAUUAUGAAUUAAUGUGUACACUAAAACAUGGCCUAUGCUGUAGGACUCCAUUUAUAUAAAGACUAAAACAGAUAAAAUAAUCUAUGCUGACAGAGUAGUGCCCAGGAAUGUAUGCAGGGACUACACUGAAUUAUCUAAUUGCAUUUCUGGACAUUAAGGACACCACUCUAACAAAACAGACAGUAUUAAAAAUUUGCCAGAGAUAGAGAAGAGCUAAGUUCUGUGAUGAUUGUUCUCAAAGCAGAUAAGCCAAGUGACAUGUAAAUGAUUACUAAUCCACUGUGCAGGGUUAACACGGCUCUAUAAAUUGAUAAAUCUGAGGAUACUCCUCUCAACUAUCAAUGUGAAGAGAUCCUACAUUUCCAAGAUAUAACUGGAAACAACACUAAAACUGUCACCAAAUUUUCCUAAAGCAGAAGAUGGUGACUGCAAAGCAAGAGAAAGAAUCUGAUUUAAAAUUUAUUAGAUUAGCAUGUGGAAGUGUAAAUUAACACUAGUUAAACAAAGGCAAGGAAAUAUAAUGAAAGAUGCAUUAUGCACAUUUGUAACAUCUGGCUAACUGCAGGUAGCUUUUUGAGGUAUUUUUCUAGGCCCUCAUUUAUGGAUGACUCUUCCUUCAUUAUGGAAGUUAAAGUAUGAAGAAGCAAGAAAAAAGAUGCUUAAGGAAAGAGGAAGGAUGGGAAGAAGUUUCUCUGUUCCUAAGUCUCUAGAAAUAUUUGGUGCAACUGUCUGAGCCAAGGAAUUCUAUUUCCUCUUGGCCUGUUUUUUGCAUGGACACAUUUUACUCAUUGUCACCUGCCUCAAAAUUACUGCCUCUUCCUAUUGGAUCUUAAGCAUUUCCUGGAGUCUGGGCAAAAUUGAAAAUUAACUCAAGAUUGUUGUCAGUCCUCCCAAAUGCCUUUCAGAUUUCACAUCUCUCUUUCCUCCAGGUGAUUUCCUUCCCAUCUAUGCCCUGAGACUUCACCACAAACUGGGAGCCCAAGGCCUCUCACCUCAGUACCCUACCAAGACUGCUGUAACUAAAAUUACUCUCUUCCACUAAUUCCACUUUCCAGCAGUGUCCUUUCUUUCAAAGAAGCUAAUCUCAGGUUCCCCCCUCCUCCCGGCCCAACAUAAGGAAAGAAGAACAUGAGAAAACUAUGGAAAUAAAUGCCACAUCUACUCCUGCUCUCAAUGUAUUCAUAUCCUUUCUCUUAACUCUGUAUCCUUGCUUAAAUAAGUCAGAAACUUACAGCUUAUAUAUAUAUAAUCAUAUUAUGUUCACAUAAUAAACGUCUUUUUCUUUUCCAUAGUUCUAUUUCUUGUUUUAUUUUCAUGUCUUAUUACAUUGCUCAAAAGAUCUAGAACAAAGUUGUAAGAAAUAUUUUUGUCUUGUUCUUUAUUUUAAAGAGAAUAUCUCUAGUGCUUCAUUAUUAGUAUGAUGUUGACUUGGUUUAAAAUAUUCUUUGCUACGUAAGGAACAUAUGCUCACAUUACUGUUGUUAAGACUUUUUAAAAAACUGGAUAUGGGCAUUCAAUUUUAUCAUGACUUUUUAGAAUCUGUUGAAAUUACGAUUUUUUUCUCUUUUGACAUACUAAUGUGACACGUUAACAUGGCACCUAUGUUUAAAGCAUUUUUAUAGUUCUGAAAAGAAUGGUGAGAUAACUUUUUCUUUAUUCUUGCAGUUAGAAAAAUAUUUCCUUCAUGUCUCUUUGCAAAUCUGUUUUCAUCAACUUAUUAGGAUGUGAGUCUCUUUAAUCUGCAUGAAUGGGUGUGUUUGGCAACUCAAGAAUACCUUCUUCUAUCACACCUUUGAAUUCAUAUCUCCAUAUGGCUUUCCAUCCAAAAACAUGGUAUGCCUCUUAGUACAUUCAAAUCUCCUUUUACAUAUCUUGCUAAAGCUAUUAUUUUCUUCUUUAGACUUCCACUUGUUCUGUACUUUCCCCCCAGGAAUUUGUGAAAUAGAGGCUUCAUUCCUAUUCUUUCAUGUACUGUCUUCUCCCUCAGAACUGUCUUCUUUUUCUUCUCUAUGCUAGACGAACUUCUUGAGUUUAACCUAUAUAUCACUGGUGAGAUAUUCUGUAGUUACUUUUGCUUUUUACUGCUUUCAAUAUAGAUUUUAUUUCUGAUUUUACAUUUUUAAUUUUCUGGUAAUUUAUCUUACCUAGCUCC